UUUUUUUUUUUUUUUUUUUUUUUUUUUUGGUCUUUUCUAGGGCUGCACCUGUGGCAUGUGGAGGUUCUCAGGCUAGGGGUCCAGUCGGAGCUGUUGCCACCGGCCUACACCACAGCCACGGCAACGCAGGAUCCAAGCUGCAUCUGCAACCUACACCACAGCUCCCAGCAAUGCGGAUCCUUAACCCGCUGAGUGAGACCAGAGAUUGAACCCUCAACCUCAUGGUUCCUAGUCGGAUUUGUUAACCACUGAGCCACAACAGGAACUCCAAGGCUCCUACUCUUAAUCAUCAAUCCUUCAUGUCCCCAGAUCCAAUUCAGUUUCCUCCUACCAUUCCCCUUGCUUCAUAGCCCAGUUGGGCUCCUGAGCCAACUUUCCCAGUAGUAGGACCUUUCCUGCCAACCCUUAUGAAUUGGUAUUUGUCCGUUUCUACCUAAACAAGUCCUGGUGGUGUUCUUUCGCCCUCAGACUCCAAGGCUGCCAAAUAUUGCUGGAGAAGUAUAAAAUUAUGUCCAGCAGCCAUAUUAUAAGCCUGUGCUUGCUUUCUUCCUGGAGCCUUAGCUGCUGGUCCAGUCAAUCCAGAUGCUUGCUGUUCCCACCUCCACACAAUUACUCAUGCUGUUCCUGCCAGCAGAUAGGCCCUCUCCUCUCUCUUCCCCAGAGCAUCUUUCCCAUCCUUCCAGGCCAAUCCCAAAUCCCUACAGUGAGAUGCAAAUGCCACCUCCUCAGAACCCCUGCAAUGCCAUAUCUCUCUUCCAGUCCGGGUGAACAUCCUUAUAGAGAUAUUUGUCCAUUUCUGUUAUAUUCGCUAGCAGGCCCUGAUCUCCUUAGACAAGCUUUGUUUAUAUGAAGAGCCACACAAGUAUAAAUUAAGAAAGAAACAAAGGAUAAAGACUAAGGGUGCAGGUUUUAAAUCUGCCGGACUCCAGUUUGAAGAUGAGCAGUGCCUCUGAAUAACUAAGGGAAACAGGGAGGGAACAUUAUUAAACGUGUGCCUCAAUUUUUAUCUGAAGGUAGUACUAAUAUUACCUCCCUAAGGGAAUUAGGAGCAUUAUCGGAGGGGAUUACUUCUUUUCCUUCUUUUCAUCGUUGUCGGAGUAUGUCCUUAUUUUGUUAGCCUUGUGCAUGUGUAUGUGUGUAUACAAAUUUUUUCCUUCAAUAUCAAGAAAAUCUGUAAUAUUAUAAAACUAAAUUCAUUUUGGCAACAUGCAAAUAAAACUCAAAUGCUUCUGUUCCCUUUGCCCAUCAUAUGGAAGUUGACAUAAACUCAGUACUCAGGGCACACAUUCUGCGGCCAGCUCUGUCCUGCGUGAAAUGGUGUGUAGAUCAACUGGAUACGGCACCAGUCUUUUGCCCUGAGAUUCCUCAUUGUGAUUCUUGGAACACGUGGGGCACUCAUAGAUAGUAAAUGCUUCUACAUGGUAGAGUGUCUCACUCAGAUGUUUACAUCUUCUUCCCAACAGAUAAAAGCAGAGGGGGCUAUGACAUUUUAAGAGUCCUUCCUCUUACUGUACUUGAGUGGUUCUUAAACUUUCAUGGGAAUAACAAUGAGGCAGGGUUUGUAUAUGGGCAGAUUCCCUGCCUCACCCUUAGAGAGUCUGCUUGGUAAGGGUGUGGCCCUGGCCCCUGCAUCUUUACCAAGCAUCCGAUCUGAUCCUAAUUAAGAUCCUGUGCUGGGUUAUGAACUGUAGCAAAGGAAGCUGAUUCUUAGAGGAGUGAGCAUGCUGUGGCAUCCUAAGCAGGCCUGGCUAAUAUCCCAGGCCGUUCAUUGAAUCCUAAUAGAUGGACCUCAGAGUCUUACAUGGGAACCAGACAUGUUAUGCCAGAAGAAGCAUUCCUGGGGCAUGGAAGAUUCCAAAUGGUUCAAAUUAUAUUUAUUUACUUCUCUUAGAUAUUUCCCCAUAUUUGCAGUGUAGAUCUGCCUUCUUUUUUUUAUUUUAUUGUAGUUGAUUUACAAUGUUGUGUUGAUUUCUGCUGUACAGCAAAGUGACUUAAACAUAUAUGUAUUCUUUUUCAUAUUCUUUCUAAUAUCAUUUAUCACAAGAUAUUAAAUAUAGUUCCCUGUGCUCUACAGUAGGACCUUGUUUAUGGGAAUGGAUUAAAGUUAACUGAAGCUUGGCACUGGUCUAAGAAUCAGGAUAAGCUAAAUCUCUAGAUCUCUUCUGAAGACCAGAAUGGUCUGGGGACUACCUAGAGAUGAGAUGGGCAGGUUAGCUUAGUGGGAAAGCAGGUGAUCUCAACCACCCAAGUCUGGAACUGUCCAUCAGGAACGUGGACAACGGCAACUUGACAGUUUUCUGUUUCAAAUGAGAUAUGUCUUUGUUCAUCUCUGUUUUGAUUUCUCUUAGUAAUUUGAAUAGUUCCUUUUGAAAAUUUCAACCUCGUUUGGGAAGAAUAGCCCUGGGUGGUGUCAGUUAUGGGAGAGGUGGGAAUUGCAGCAUGGCUACUACUGGUGUUAUUGAGUGCCUUUAUGGACCAGGCAUUUUGCACACAUUAUCUCUAAUUUUCACAAGCAGAUGCUAUAAAGUAGGUGUUAAUACUCUUUUUUUUUUUUUUUUUUGGAUGAGGAGUAGAAGUUUCAGAGGGGGUUAGCCAUUUGCCUAGGACCACACAGCAAAGACAAAACUCAUACGAAUAGGGUAAACCCAUCUUAGCGAAAGUUCUCUCGAUGCCUCCUCAAUGCUUGCUGCUGGAGGGCUCCAUCUGUCAGUGGCCAAGAACAGACCUCCUAGGACUCACCAAUCCAGCCUUGCCAGACACCUGGCAGAGAAAGCGAUUUCUGAAGCAGGAGAAAACCCAGGAAGAUUGCUCAGUUCCUGUGCACGCCACUUCCCAGCUGGGGAUGACAGUUAAUCUUGAAAAUCAAUUCAGUGCCUGCUCUCACCGCAGAUACUCCCCAGGGCAGGCCACGGCUCCUCUCACUGCUGUUAAACAGCACAAGAAGUGGUUGCCAGCAUGAGAAGGUCAGGGGCAACUGUGCACUGGGCCUGGGGUCGUCCACAGAGCACUCGCUGUGAGGCUUGUAGGAGGCACCUUCAGCCUCAGGGGCAGAUGGGGGAUGAGCAGACAAGAAAUGAUUCCAGCCCCUUCCACCUGAGAAAGAGCAGACUGAACUCCCAUAGGCAGCCUGAGUGGCUCUAACAGCCCAGGCACAGGCUCCCUUGGCUUUGUGGCAGAGGUGUCCUUCUCUGGAUACUUUCUGGAUUGUGGCUCUGAGACGUCGUGAGACCUCUCAAGGGACAAGGUCAAGCCGUGGGUGGUGACUCAGCAGGGAUCUGGGGCCCUCUGAGUGUGGCUGAGUGGCUCCUGACAUCUCACAUUCACAUCUUCUCAAGGCCACAGUCGUACCACACUGCUCCAAGACAAGGCUGUGCCCGUUUAUGCUAGAAUCUUCUCCUAAAUUCCAGAAUGCAGGCAAGAAGUAUCACUUUUUGAAAGAAAUGGUUCUUACCAUCUAAGGUCCAGGUAUGCGGUUGUAUGCAGACUAUUUCCCCGUACGGCCUGCUGGAAGCUGCCAUGGGCUGGGUGGCAAGGAAUUCUCAUGGAACCCUGGGGCCAUGCCUUCCAAGUCUAUGGUGAGAGGGGUGUUUCUUUAAGCCCAAUUCUUCUGGGAUUGCAACCAUCCUAGAGGGAAAAAAAAAAAAAAACACAGUCCUUCCCUUCUAAGAAUCCAGAACUCUGGAGAGGAUUGGACACUUGCACUCAAAGUGAGAAAAUCUGGAUUUUUAGGGUUGAGUGAAGUUUCUGGAGAGAGGCUGCAUAUGAUUGAAUCCCAGUUCUGCCAUUUCAUAAAUGCAUAAUCGUGGGCAACUCACUUGAUUUCUCUGGGCCUCAGUUUUCUCAUCUGAAGAAUGGGUAUCGAUGCAUUAAUUCAAAAAGUUCAGGAGUUCCUGCUAUGACAUAAUGGGAUUUACAGCAUCUCUGCAGUGCCAGGACAGGUCUGAUCCCUGGCCUGGCACAGUGGGUUAAAGGAUCUGGUGUUGCCACAGCUGUGGCAGAGGUCACAGCUGUGGCAGAGGUUACAGCUGUGGCUCAGAUCUGACCCCUGGCCUGGGAAUUUCCACAUGCCGUG
rnacentral:lncRNA from 1 species